UUUUUGGAAAUAAUUUAAAGUCUAAUCUGCCCACUGAUAAAUAUAUUAAAGGGCUGCAGUAUUUUGACUGUACAAAGGUAGCAUAAUCAUUAGUCUCUUAAUUGGUGACUUGUAUGAAAGAUUGGAUGAAAUAUAAACUGUCUCUAAUUAAUUUAUAAAAUUUAAUUUUUUAGUAAAAAAGCUAAAAUAAUUUUAAAAGACGAGAAGACCCUAUAGAGUUUUAUAAUUUAUUUGAUUAUUAUUAAUAUGUAAAUUUUAAAAUUAAAAUUAAAUAAAUUAUUUUGUUGGGGUGACAGAAAAAUUAAAUUAACUUUUUUAAAUAAUUAACAUUAAUUUAUGAAUAAAUGAUCCAUUAAUAUUGAUUAAAAGAAAAAAUUACCUUAGGGAUAACAGCGUAAUUUUUUUUUUUAGUUCAAAUAGGAAAAAAAGUUUGCGACCUCGAUGUUGGAUUAAGAUAAAAUUUAAAUG
rnacentral:rRNA from 1 species